rnacentral:lncRNA from 1 species
AUGUUCCAGAAGCACAGACAGACCCCCUGCCCCCAGAAUCCAUUGUGCUCAGGACCGUUUGGUAUCAUCCAAUUGUCUCAGAUCCUAGGAACAAGGUCUCCAAUGAGACUGGAUCCUGGACCAGCCUCCCUCAAGCCUCUGACAGAGGUCAACAAGCCUCAGGAGCCAGGCUCGAACCGGAAAUUAUCAGGAAACGUCUUCAAGGUGCUCAUGCUUGCAGCUUGCUGUGGCUCUCAUGAACGGGGCUCAGUCUGCAUCAAAAUACACUGAGGAAGGGUCUGGAAAGGUGGUCCAGCAACUCAAUGGGGAUUGGUACCCAUGAGAACAGAAGAAAGCACUAAAUUCCUGGGAAAGAGUUACAGAUGGAUGUGACCACAGAUGGGUGCUGAGAAUCAACCUGGAUUUCAUGCAGGAGCAGCAAGUGCUCUUAACCACUGAGCCAUGCCCCCAGCUCCAUCUCUCCUUUCCUUCCUGUCUUUCUCUGCCUCUGUCCCUCUUUCUUUUGAAACAGGGUCUAGCUUUGGAACUCACUAUGUAGACCAAGCUGGCCUUGAACUCACAGAGGUCUGCCUGCCUCUGCCUCCUGAGUGCUGGAACUAAAAGUGUGUGCCAUCAUGUCCUGCUGAAGAUUUGAAGAUUUAUUUUUCAGCGCGUGUGUGCGUGUGUACAUGUGUGUCUCUGUGUAUGUGUGGGGGGGUGUAUACAAGCAAGUACCCUAGAGGGCCAGCCUUUUCUAAUUUCUUAGAUCUGGAGUUACAAGGAAUCAUGAGCCCCUUAGACCCCAAUAUGGGAGCUAGGAACUGAAAUCAGGUCCUCUACAGGAGCAGUAAGGGCUCUAACCCUUGAGCCAUCUCUCCAGUACUCAAGGACAAGCUUGCAACCCCCCAACUGAGGUAUCUAGCCCCCAACUGCAUUACCCGUGUGCUGUGGGUCUAAAUGUAUUAUUCUCUCUGCAUGUCCCCCUCUGAGCUCAGGGAAGAUUAAAUAGCAAAAACAUAGAGAUGUAUUAACAUGAAAGCAGGGGACUAGCACGGUGGUGCAGGCCUUUAGUCCCAGCACUCAGGAAGCAGAGACAGGUGGAUCUCUGAGUACAAGGACACCCUGGUCUACAGAGAGAGUUCCAAGACAUUCAGAGAAACUCUGUCUCAAAAAACUCAAAAUAAAUAAAUAAAAUAGUAGGAACA